rnacentral:lncRNA from 1 species
UGCUCUUGACUGCUGAACUCUUUCUCCGGCCCCUGUAGCUGCUUCUCAGAUUGCAUAAAGAUCAUUGUCACCAAGCAGAGCUGAAUAGAGAGCAACACAAGGCGCAAGCUUUAAGCUGUUCCAGGCUUUGAACCGUGUCUACUCUCCACCUCUCAUCAGUGUUGCCGUUAUCCUGAGCAUGGGUCUUGCCCUUCUACCUCAAGAGCAUCGCCUGCCACCAGCUCGAAGACACGGGACAAUCUGGAGCUUCAAACCCAUGUGACAGUCUACUCUGGUCUGGACCUCUGUCCAUUCUCUCUGCUCUAACACAGAGUUCUAGAAAAUAUGCAAUUCUGUAGAGACAUGGUUACCAGAAAAUGGAGCAGCCUGGCUCAUUUAAAAGUCUUGCAGUGAUAAAAUGCUCGGACGGAAGCAACAUGGAGGAGACAGGGUUUGUUCUAGCACACAGCUCUGGUGUGGAACUGUGUGGAGAAGCCACAGGUAGCAGAGAUAAAAUAGAGAUUUUAAAAGAUGUUUACUCGGGAGUAACAGAGGGGAUUGUUUGCUAGCUGCGGGAAGGAUUAGAACUGCCCAGCCUUUGGGCUAGUAAAGGUGUAUUAAAAGUAACUGGUGUGUGUGGGGAGGGUGGGGUGAAGCGAGCACAUGUGACCAUCCGGGAGCAACGUGGUUAGCCAAAGUACCGCUACACAUGCCUGUUUGUGGUCCUAGAAUUUGGAAAGGGGGAGGGAGCUUGAAAAGUUAGAUAUCAAUGCUCUCUCUCUCUCUCUCUCUCUCUCUCUCUCUCUCUCUCUGUGUGUGUGUGUGUGUGUGUGUGUGUAUAGAACCCGUUUUUAAUCCCAGCACUCAAGAGGCAGAAGCAGAGGGAGGUGGUCUCUGAAUUUGAGGCCAGCCUGGUUUACACAAUAUAUUCCAGGUCAGCCAGAGCUACAAAAAUCAUCUUGAAAACCCUAAAGAGGUCUGGUGAGAUGGCUUAGUGGUUGGGAGCACUGACUGCUCUUCCAGGGGUCCUGAGUUCAAUUCCCACCAACCACAUGGUGGCUUACUGUAAUGGGAUCCAGUGCCCUCUUCUGGGGUGUCUGAAGACGGCAACUGUGUACUCACAUGCAUACAAAUACAUAAAUAAAUAAAUUGUUUAAAAAGUUGACUAUAUAUAAAAAAAGGGGGGGGGAGAAAUCCUAAGGAAAAAAGAAAAAAGAAAAGAAAAAUUUGAGGUCAGUUUGAAAACCCUCUUAAAGAAGAUUAGGGGAAAAAAAGUAAACAAAGGCUGGGGGUGUAGUUUGGUUGGUACAGUGCUGGCCAGCAGCCAGAAUGUCCUGGAUUCAGCUAAUCUUUUGGUUGCCAAAACCAGGCAUGGUGAAAGAGCUCUAGCCAGCAGCCAUGGGUGUGGGAGGAUCAGAAGUUCAAGGUCAUUCGCAGACUUCGUGGAGAGUUUGAGGCUACUCUGGGCUUUAAGAGACCCUGACCCUGUCUCAAAAUAAACAAAAGAGAAAUAUCAAAAAAUAAAAUAUUUCAGAGAAAUAACUAAGUUUCUUAUAAAAAUUAAUUCAUACAUCUUAUGCAUAUGAAUAUUUUGUAUGUACGUCUAUUUGUCACAUUCUUGCUUGGUGCCCCAGAAGGCCAGAAGAGUUCAUCAGAUCCUCGGGAUCUGGAGUUACAGAUGGUUAUGAGCCACCAUGUGGGUGCUUGGAAUUGAACUUGGGCCCUAUGGAAGAACAGCCAGUACACUUAAUCACUGAGCCAUCUCCCCAGACCCCUAAAUAUCUUAUUGCACAAACUCUCAUUAAGUCUUUAAGCAUGACCAUGCUACAAGUUUUGCCUUCCACAGAUAGUUACUGUUUUACUCUGAUUAUCUACUGCAAUCUGCUCUGAGCAAUACUCCACACACACACACACACACACACAAAAAUAAUAAUAAAUAAAAUAACUGUCAGUGAGCUGGCAAGGCGGUAUAUGUCUGCAUCGUCAGGACUCAGGAAGCAGUGGCAGGUACAUGGCGAGUUUGGAGCUAGCUUGGACUAUACACAGAGUUCUAGGCCAGCCUACGCUAUAGCUCUAGAAUGAACUCCUGCUUUCAAAAGCAGGGAAUGUUUCAGAGACUCAAGGAAAGGAACUUGGCAGGCAGGCACCCAGGGUUCACAGUGUGGUGGCUGUGAGCCUGGCCCCUACAGUUAGGACUUCCAACUACAGCAAGAAGCUCAUUCAUCUUAUAAAGCUGCUGCCUUGAGGUCAAGCGGAGCAAGCACAGGCUAACUGCCUUGCAGUGGGCAACUGAUGAAGGGGGAUUAUUGCCUUUAGUUUGGGUAUUUUUUAAUUCUUUGAUGUUUUGUAGCGGAGGUGGGGGAGGGAGUUAUAAGGAACUUUUUUUUUUAAUCCUAAGCUAUCUAUAACUCAUGGCAAUGAUUAUACCUUUGUAAACAGAAAUGAAACACAUUUUUCUCUUUGCUUGAUCCUUUCCAAAUUCAGAAAUUCUGAUUGAAUAUUCCUAUUUCCAUGGUAAUCUUAUUAUUUGCAACACAUUCAGUGAGAACGCGUCCCCUUUGUGACAGAGUAUAACAGGAAAGUGGUAGAAACAUCAGAUAUGACCACACGGUUAUAAUAACUUACUGCAGAACUGGGCGAGGUGACCUUAGGUUAGGGUCGCCUCCCCUAAUGCACCUCCCUGACAAAGCACCCAACAGGGAUCAGACAGGUUAAGGGAGUUUGAAAGUGUAUUCAGGAGAAGGGCAGUGUAUCUUUUGUGCCACCUAGGAAAAGAAGCAUUCAAGAGAAAGAACUAGUCCCAAGCCUUGUUCUGGUAUGGCUUCCUAGUGUCAAGGGGCUUUGUGUGUAGUAUCUGUGUGUGUUAUUCACACAAAGGCCAGAAGACUACAUACAGAAAUCAACUCUCUCUUUCUACUGAACUCAGGUCAUCAAGCUUGGUGGCAGACAUCUUCAAUCACUGAGCCAAGUCUGGUCCCAUAGUAUUUUUUACGAACGAGCCUGAAAUUCACAGAUCCGACUGUGUUGGCUGGCCAGGCAUGUCCAUGGAUCCCCCUGUGUCUGCCCUGACAGAACUGGGCUUACAAGCUACCUUGCCCAACUUUUACGUGGAUGCUGGGGAUUUCAGUUUAGGGUCUCACAUUUGCAUAGCAAGAACUUUACCUCACUGAGCCGUUUCCCUGACUUCCUAGGAAGCAUUUAAAAAAUAUAGUCUGAAUCCAUAUGGAAAAUACCAGCCAAGAAAACUCUAAAUACCAAUGUGGCUCUGUACCAUUUGUGUUUUAUUGAUGUAGUGACCAGGACAACUCUAAUUAGACCAGAAUUAUUUUGCAAACAGUAUCAGAGUAGAGUAACCACACAUGUGUCACAGGAAAUUGUCCCUGGGCUGCACUGGGUCUUCCUGCUUUGAAGGGGGUAGUGGGGAAAAGGUGGACAGAGGUUCUCUCUCUGGAAUGAACUUUAUAGUCAGGCUUCCUGUCAAGUUCUCUUCUUUAGCAGGCUGUCCCCAGGUUCCUAACCUGCACUCAUUGUUCUAAGAAUUAAGUUGAGUCAUUCAGAGGCAAUCUGACUAUCUAAUUAAAUUCCUCCUUCUGUCCUUUUGGCACCUGAUAACUAUAGCCCAUCUUCUACAAGAAUCCUACUGAGUCAGUUUAACUAGGAGCCCUUGAUGUAAUUUUCCAUUCUCUGGCCUUUCUGUUCACAGAAGCACUCACUCUUUGGUUAUGAAUCCUGCCCUUGUUGUGUUUGGAGGAGAGCCCAGUCUUCUCCCCACUUGUAAUAAUCUUGACACCUUUCACAGUGGUUCUGAACAAAGUCUUUUAUACACUUAGCAUGUGUCAAUAUUUUCUUUAGCAGGACUUUGGGUCCCUAACCUGCAACUCAGCACUCAGUCCAUCAUGGGCUUUGCUAGUCUCUGUGACUUCUCCAGGGCAGGAAAGUGACAGGUUUCUGCGCAAGGGAGCCCGAGGUACCUGGUUCAGGAUGGAGAGGGCACUUGAGAGGCGUCAAAAGCAAGCACAGUUAGAGGACAUCAGCGAUGUUAAAACCCCACGAGGGUCAACAGUAGCCCAGGCAAAAUAAAGGAGCCUGAAGUGGAAAAACAGAAAUGGAACAAGACGUUUGUUCUGGAGCACGUGAGAUUGUCCUUCUAAGACAUUUCCAGAAGUAUUCAAAGGAAGAUUUAAUGGGAAAUCAUUAUGCAAAAGAGUCAGUAAUAUAUUUUAGUUUCAAAAAGUACGGAGCGUGACGCCUGUCAAUUAUACCUUCUGCAAAGGUGAGUGGCGGUUGUCCUUGCUGUUCCAAAAUGCAAAGAGAAACAAACAAACAAACAAACAAGCAAACCAGCUACUCCUAUUCCGCACUCCAAACACCAAGCAGAAAUGCUUCUGGGACAAACUGAGCUUCAUUCUUUAUGAAAAUGAAAACACUUCUUUCUGUGCACUAGGAAAAUGUUCUGCCUCUGAGCUGCAAAACCAGCACCAAACUUGAAAAGUUUGUGCAUCAAAGGAAAAAGGCAACCUACAGGAUGGGGGAGAAUAUUUGCAGGACACAUGUCCUGGAAGGAAUACAUAUUUAGACUGAAUAAAAUGAGUAAGAGGAGGGAUAGGGAGUUCGUGUUCAAUGUUGAGAGCUUGGGACAGUUGAGAAAACGCUCCGGAGUGUUCUGCAGAUGAAUGAUGGUGACGACUGCAUCAGUGUGAAUGUCCUUAACGCCGUCAAAAAUUGGUUAUAAUGGCAAAUUUUAUGCUACAUAUGUUUUACUACAAUAAAAAUGCCAGGAAAAUCUAACUGCUCCAAAUCCUGAAUUUAUUAACCCAAUAAAUUAGGAGAUGGUUAUUGACCUAUAAAUGGAUUUGUCAAUUUUUAAAAUGAUUUCCUUUAAAUUGAAUUCUUUCCUAGAGCUUUAUUGUCUCUUCACAAACCAUUAAACACUUGUUAAAGUGUUCAGAGAGGGCUGAGAUGGAGGAGGAAGUGAAAACCAAACAAACAGAUGAGGGACCUUCCCCAAAUGAUGUCUGCUAACAGGCUUCUUGGGUAUUCUAUUUAUAUAGAUUUUACAAGUGUUUUAUUUGAGAGGAAAAAUCCCUAGACCUUACAUAGUACAAUGAACUUCUUAUGCCUGUCAGCUAGAUUUAUUAAUUUUUAACGAGGUGUAUUACUUUUAAAAGCUAUCUAUUUACUAUUGGGGGAGGGAGAAGGACAAAGGACAUCUUGCAGAAGUCUGGUCUCUCCUGCUAUGUGGGUUCUGGAGAUAGGAAAUCAGGCAGGUUGUCAGGCCUAGAAGCAAAGGCCUGUCUGCACUGAGCCAUCUUACUUGUCUUAUUUUGUUACUUUUGAUGACCUAUUUUAGACAUCACUAUUCUAUAGCCCUAAGUAUAACUUCAAGUAUGUAUCUUCCACAAUGACUUUAUGACCAUGAAAUCAAUUCAAGAAAUUUAACAUGUAUGCAGUUCUAUCCAGCGUACAUACAGAUUUCUCAUCCCCCCUUUUACUGUAGUUUAUAGAAAAAGCAAUUCUCUUCCAUAUCUAGAGUUUGACAAGGAAUAUGCAUUGCAUUUGGUUUCUGUGUUCUUUAAUCUCUUGUUGUACAGAACUUCAACCUUUCAUGACAGGUUGAACAAUUUUGGAUCAUACAGGCUGUCAUGGUUUGAAUAUGUUUGGCCCAGGGAGUGGUACUGUUAGGGGUGUGGUCUUCUUGGAAUAGGUGUGUCACCGUGGGCGUGGGCUUUAAGACCCUCAUCCUUAGCUUCUGGAAGUCAGUCUUCCACUAGCAACCUUCAGAUGAAGAUGUAGAACUCUCACCAUCUCCUGCACUAUACCUGCCUGGAUAUCGCCAUGUUCCUGCCUUGAUGAUUAUGGACUGAACCUCUGAACCUGUAAGCCAGCCCCAAUUAAAUUUGUCCUUAUAAGAGUUACCUUGGUCAUGGUGUCUGUUCACAGCAGUAAAACCCUAACUAAGACACAGGCCAAUUACAGAAUGUCUCUUUUUGGUGUGUGCAGUGUUAAAGUUUGAAGCACAAGCCUAAUGCUUGUUAGACAAGCACUCUACCGCUGCUCUACAUCAGCAGCUCAGUGUGCCUCUUGUCUUGAUGGGCUCAUUGUUUUUUAUGACCCAGUGCAUUGGGGUGAGCAGCUCACACAGGUACGAAGGGGUCCCUCUCAGAGCUUAACAUCAGGGAACUCAAUGUUGGUUUGUCUGUUCUAUUUCAGCUGAGCUAGUAUCUGGCAGUUCCCCACAACCCCCAUCAAGUUACCACUUUUUUCUUUGUAAUUGUAAUUUGCAAAGAAAUAUUUGCAAGAUUAAGUAAUAGACUACACAACGUGUUUUAGCUUCCACUGAGCAUUCAGCCUGAACUGUUUUAUAAAGUUAUGAAAUGAUAGAUUUCCAACUUAAUAAUUAUUUUAAAGACUUAUUUUAUUUUUAGUUCUGCAUGUAUGCCUGUGUGUGCACGUGUGUACCUAUGUAUCUGUAUGGUUAUGUGCACAUGAAUGCAGAUGUCCAAGGAGAAGAGGCCAGACACAUUGGAUCCCUGGUGCUCAAGUGGGAGGUGGCUGUCAGCUGCUGUAGGAAGGUGAUGGGAACUCAGCUUGAGUCCUUUGCAAGAACAGCAUGAGCUCUUAAACACAGAGCCACAUCUUCAGUCCCUCUCUUAUUUUUUUAAAAAUUAUUCUCUCUCUGUGUAUGUGUGUGUAUACAGAGGUCAGAGGAUCAUUUUUGUAAAAUUAGUUCUCUCUACCUUUUUUUGUGGGCUCUGGGGACUAAACUCAAGUUGUUGGGAUUUUGUGACAAGUGCUGUAUCCACUGAGCCCUCUCACAUGCCCUUAAAUGUUAUUUUAAAUAAUAGCAAAUGAGUACGUUCAAGCAUACGAGAAUAAGCAUGUCCUAUUGAUUUGAAUAUGCAAAAGUAUGCCAAUUUUUUAAAUCUCUAUUACCAAGUGGACAAGUAUUCCAUUUUAUCUCCAAAAGUAAAGAUUUCUUUUAGAUACAGUCAUGUGGAUUAUACAACUUGACUGAAGCCAUGUCUCCAAGAUACAUACCUAGAGGGUAAAGGGAAUGCUUUAAAGGAGCGUGAUUAUGAAUAUCCAAGCUGAAAAUAAACACUAAUUACUAACAAAAAGGAUUACUGAGAAAAAUAUGGGUUGGUUUUCAGUACUUGACUCUGUAAAGUUAUUUCUUUUCUUAUUUAGUUUUUAUUCAUAAUCAUAAACUUAACUUUGCCAUCCAGCUAGACUUGAAGGGGAAUGAGGAAAAUAUGGAACCCAAAGAACUUGAGCAGAGAUUACAGGGUAUUUCAAGCAGAUGGGGUAGGGAUGCUCUCCUGCGCUACAGAAGGAAUGGUUGGAUGGGUAAAAUGCCUGCAAGUCAAAAGAAAUUAGAGUUAUCCACAGUCGGAAAUGGUCUUGCUGGUCUUUCCAUUCCUGGACCCAAAACACUCCAUGGCUUCCACAAUGUUCAUGCCUUCUUUCACCUUCCCAGACACCACAUGCUUGCCAUCCAGCCACUUAGUCUUGGCAGUGCAGAUAAAAAACUGGGAACCGUUUGUGUUGGUCCAGUAUUUGCCAUGGACAAGAUGCCAGGACCUGUAUGCUUCAGGAUGAAGAUCUCAUCCUCAAAUUUCUCUCCAUAGAUGGAUCUGCCGCCAGUGCCAUUAUGGCAUGUAAAGUCACCACCCUGGCACAUGAAUCCUGGAAUAAUUCUGUGAAAGGAGGAACCCUUCUAGUAAAAUCCUUUCUCUCCAGUGCUCAGAGCAUGAAAGUUUCCCGCUGUCUUUGGAACUUUGUCUGCAAACAGCUGGAAGGAGACUCUUCAAGGGCUCGUCAUCGGCCGUGAUGUCAGAGAACACGGUGGGGUCGACUGUGGCUACAGCAAGAGGACCAACGGUACUGUUGCUCUAGCUACAGGAAUAAUCCUGGGCAGCACUUGUUGACCUUGGUCACUGUCAAGGGAAGAUCGGCUGUUCCCACUGAGGGCAUCUUGAUGGAUUAAGGUGAUCAGCUGAUCAAUGUGAGGGGACAGAUGGGAGCUAGGAACUGUCUCGGUACUGAGUCAUUUUUCAUCUAAUGUGCAAGAAACCCAAAGAGCACAUCAAACAGCGAACUACGCCUAAGCUAUCCAUGUUUCUCCUGCUUCUUCUGAGAGGGUGAUUUACACGUAGCUCAACACUCGAGUGUUGCAGUAUCGAGUGACUGCAACCAAACAAUGGAACAUGCAUCGUGCCUGUUGACAGAGCCUGCAGUUGGCUUGGAACCGGGACCAUGCUGCAUUCGACAUCGUUCCUGGUGGCUGACUUGUUCCCAUAGAAUUAAAUGCUAGGCAUCCAGAAGCUGACUGUGCAUCUGAUGGGCUCACUAACAUUCAGGAACAGGUUGGCCUCAGACUUCAUCAAUGGAAAGUGAGCUGAAGUCUUUCUGUUUACAAAUUUGCCAAUUUCCUUUGAGGAAGCUUGAUCACGGAGCUCUUCUGCAUCAGGUGAUUGAUGCCCUGCAGGUACUUCAAGCAACAUCAUGCAUAUCAAACCUGCCCUCUGCCUGGACUGUUUACAGCUGCCUUUUUGCUAGCUGAACUGCCUGACACUUCGGCUCAAAGACUCAUUUAUCACUGAGGGCGCAUGCCGUUAUCUGAGCACCUUCCGAAGCAUCACACGCCAUCUCUAGACUUCCUGGGAUUGUCUACGGAUACAACACUUGCUCUCAUAAGUUGGUUACAUAAACAUAAAAGAAUGAACUUUAAACUAAAAUUUCUGACUUUUAUCUCUUUGCAGUGUAGGCAUAGGACAAAAAAAAGAGCACGUUUGAAAGACUACAUUUUCAUGAAAUUGGAAAUGCUACAUGCAAGCUGCAGAUGCUGAUUGCAGAGUCAGAAGACAUGGCCGUCAGUGUUAGGACUCUGCCUUAUUCUGCUAUUUCUCCUUGACGACCUACAGUUUGCAUUGUGGGUGGCAUUCAUUAACGAGGGCAGUAAAAACAUGGAGAAAACAUUGCAAGCUCUCCUUCGUGUUUCGCUCACUGGCCAAGUAGCUAACCAACUAGGUGUUCAGGCUCCCAUGUGUCUCAAUAUGAUGUGGCUCCUUCCAGUAGCAACCAUCCUGAGCAGAGACCUUUGUUCUAAUUUAAAAAUUAGACAUGAUAUAGAGCUUACCACACAUUUUUCCCCCUGAAGAUUAAAGAUCUUCAUGAAGGUACUGGCUUAAAAGACAUCAACCCCAAGCCUUUCGAAGGAUAUGCACUUGAGAUUGCCAUACUCGAUGGUGCGUCCAAUUAACUUAGAAAUACCCUUGACAUUUCUCAUCCGUGAAGAGAAGCUUUAGGUGACAGUUUUCAUGGUGUGGGUACUCUCGGUGCCUAAUUUGCUUUUUUUUCUUGUUUUCAAGCCUGAAAGGGAAAUAGCCUUGGCUUUCAGCUCUGGAGCGCGAUGCCCUCCUUACGAGUAUUCAGCUACUGUCUGAACCAUUGUACUUGCCUUCCCCUCCAUACCCCUUUUUCCCCAAAGUCCCGUUGAUAGCUCAUU